rnacentral:rRNA from 1 species
ACGGCUCACCAAGGCGACGAUCCCUAGCUGGUCUGAGAGGAUGACCAGCCACACUGGAACUGAGACACGGUCCAGACUUCUACGGGAGGCAGCAGUGGGGAAUAUUGCACAAUGGGCGCAAGCCUGAUGCAGCCAUGCCGCGUGUAUGAAGAAGGCCUUCGGGUUGUAAAGUACUUUCAGCGGGGAGGAAGGGAGUAAAGUUAAUACCUUUGCUCAUUGACGUUACCCGCAGAAGAAGCACCGGCUAACUCCGUGCCAGCAGCCGCGGUAAUACGGAGGGUGCAAGCGUUAAUCGGAAUUACUGGGCGUAAAGCGCACGCAGGCGGUUUGUUAAGUCAGAUGUGAAAUCCCCGGGCUCAACCUGGGAACUGCAUCUGAUACUGGCAAGCUUGAGUCUCGUAGAGGGGGGUAGAAUUCCAGGUGUAGCGGUGAAAUGCGUAGAGAUCUGGAGGAAUACCGGUGGCGAAGGCGGCCCCCUGGACGAAGACUGACGCUCAGGUGCGAAAGCGUGGGGAGC